GCUAUUCUUUUCUGAGAGCAUGCCACGUGUUUCACAACUAAAAAUGGUAUCAAAGUAACAGUAGAAAAAUGCAAAGUGUGUGCAAGCAAAUGCUUUUACUCAGGGACUUUAACUGCACUUCGGAUGUGUUACCAAGGUUAUGGUUACCCUUUGAGGCUGUUUCUGGAAGAAGGAGGAGUGGUAACAGUCUGCAAAAUCAAUACUCAGGAACCUGAGGAGACCUUGGAUUCUGAUUUCUGCAGCACCAAUGUUAUUAAUAAAAUUAUUCUACAGUCAGAGGGGCUCCGUGAAGCAUUUUCUGAACUGGAUAUGACGAGUGAAGUCCUACAAAUUACAAUGUCUCCUGACAAGCCUUAUUUCAGGUUAUCUACUUUUGGAAAUGCAGGAAGUUCCCACCUUGACUAUCCCAAAGAUUCUGAUUUGAUGGAAGCAUUUCAUUGUAAUCAAACCCAAGUCAACAGAUACAAGAUUUCUUUACUGAAACCCUCUACAAAGGCAUUCGUCCUAUCUUGUAAGGUAUCUAUUCGGACAGAUAACAGAGACUUCCUUUCAUUACAGUAUAUGAUUAGAAAUGAAGAUGGACAAAUACGUUUUGUGGAAUAUUACUGCUGCCCUGAUGAAGAAGUUCCUGAGUCUGAGUUUUGAGUAUGACAAUUCACUGAUAUUUAUGUGUACAUUUAUGACAGAUGAAGUUCUUAUUCUGAGUACAGUACUCUUUAUAAUUUCAUGUUGAAUUUUCUAUAAGGAGGAAGAACAAUGGGGAAAAUAGGAGCACGGUCGUGUACCUAAUAGUUACUAUGUUUUCUAAAUACAUUUUGUAGAGGGCAUGUAAAUAAAUGUUUUCAUGUAGUCAUAGAUUAUUCAGGACUGUCCUUUAGUUCUGUCUUUUGAACCCACAGUUAUGUGAGCCAAGGUAACAUUUCAAGAGUCUAAAGG